UACGUAGGGUGCAAGCGUUGUCCGGAAUUAUUGGGCGUAAAGAGCUCGUAGGCGGUCUGUCGCGUCGGAAGUGAAAACCCGGGGCUCAACCCCGGGCCUGCUUUCGAUACGGGCAGACUAGAGUUCGGCAGGGGAGACUGGAAUUCCUGGUGUAGCGGUGAAAUGCGCAGAUAUCAGGAGGAACACCGGUGGCGAAGGCGGGGUCUCUGGGCCGUAACUGACGCUGAGGAGCGAAAGCAUGGGGAGCGAACAGG
rnacentral:rRNA from 1 species